AUCUCCAGUGUGGUGCGGAUUUGGUCGAAC
rnacentral:sRNA from 1 species